GGCGAUGCGGGAUGAACCGAACGCCCUGAUAAAGUGCCGAACUGCUCGCUCAUCAGACCCCACAAAAGGUGUUGGUUCAUUUAGACAGCAGGACGGUGGCCAUGGAAGUCGGAAUCCGCUAAGGAGUGUGUAACAACUCACCUGCCGAAUGAACUAGCCCUGAAAAUGGAUGGCGCUCAAGCGGGCGACUUAUACAGGGCCAUUGGGGCAAGUGCGUAUGCCCCAAUGAGUAGGAGGGCGCGGGGGUCGUGAGGCAGCCUGGGGCGCGAGCCCGGGUGAAACGGCCCCUGGUGCAGAUCUUGGUGGUAGUAGCAAAUACUCAAAUGAGAACUUUGAGGACUGAAGUGGGGAAAGGUUCCGUGUGAACAGCAGUUGGACACGGGUUAGUCGAUCCUAAGCCAUAGGGAAACUCCGUUUUAAAGUGCGCUCUCGGGCGCCGCCUGGCGAAAGGGAAACCGGUUAAUAUUCCGGUACCUCGAUGUGGAUUAUCCGCGGCAACGCAACUGAAGGUGGAGACGUCGGCGGGGGCCCCGGGAAGAGUUCUCUUUUCUUCUU
rnacentral:rRNA from 1 species